AUCCAGCUGACAAGUCCCAAAUACGACGAAAUUCGUGUCCAGGAU
rfam:Schistosoma haematobium scaffold282_13, whole genome shotgun sequence.